ACGAGAUCGUCAUUUUAUCGGUGGAAUCUUAAUACGCGAAGCUACCCCACGAGUGAAUACUAGGUUGUAGUUGAACCAUCUCCAGUGUUGCUCAACCGAAAUAUGGAGUCAUUAGCAGAGAAGGCAACCAUUAGGUUGGUCUGAUGGUGAAGUACCCAGCAUAAGGUAAGGCGGGGAAAGACCACAAGAAGCUGGAGAAGGGACAGACCUCGUCAACGUAGUUUUCUUAUUCGCUUUCUUUCAGAAAGAAGGCUUGGCUCCGGAAGAUGACCUGAUGGAGGAAGACUUGAAGGUUGGUGAGUCAAGCAGUCAGACCCAGAGCCAAAGUUUCAAGUUCAGUUAGGUAACUUACCUGAUAAGGUGGAUUGCAAGAUGAUCCUAACUUUGCCAAGAGAGUUCAUGGCAAAAACCAAUCAGAAUGAAUCUUUGGAAAGGGAUGUGGUGGAUACUCAGUAAGCUUGCCAUGAGGUAGUGAUGCCAAAAGUGCCUCGAGGAGGUUACCUGAAGAAGGUUCUUCUCAUUAUCACUGACGGUCUAACCACGGAACUAUGUAUUGGAGCUUACCUGUUCUCCAGGUCUGUUAUUAAGAUAGGACGAAAGUCGGGGUGGCUGCACUGCACUUUAUAUCUUAACACCAGCGAUGAGAUGAAAACCGCUCCUAUUCAGUGGUUCCCGUGCUACCAGCAUCGAAAGAGUGACCGCUAUCCCUGACCAGCUCGUG
rnacentral:lncRNA from 1 species